CAAGGUUAGCAGCAGCACAAGUUGCUGUCUGAAAGAGAAUUCAAGAGGAGCAGCUCUCCAUCACCAUGUUACUGUCACUUUGUGCAGUUGUCAAUAACUUAUCCCUCGAAUGCCAAUAAUAACCUCGACCACAGUUGAAUAAGAUAGCUUCUUUUCUUUUUUUUCAAAUAAUAAUGAUAAUAACAAUAAUAAAUGAAAAAAAAAUUGAAGUGAACAUUAGAGAGGUGUAAGUAAGAAAUGUUCGACUCCUUGUAGGGGGCCCAGGUCUUCUGAAUUAUAGAGAAAGCUCCUAACAGUGAUUAUAUAUAAUCAGUGAGUAAAAUUAUAUUCAAUGUGAAUGAUAUCCAACAGUCCCGAGGGAUGCAUGUUCAUGUUUAUGUACAUAUUGCUGAUAAUAACUAGGUAGGGGUGUCCAUCGAAUCGGUUCCAAAUGGGAGGAUCAGAAUCAAAUUACAGUCUUUUUGUUCAGAUUUUGAUUUUGAUUAAAUAUA
rnacentral:misc_RNA from 1 species